UACAGAGGUCUCAAGCGUUGUUCGGAUUCAUUGGGCGUAAAGGGUGCGUAGGUGGCAUGGUAAGUCGGAUGUGAAAUCCCGGGGCUUAACCCCGGAACUGCAUUCGAUACUGCUGAGCUAGAGUACUGGAGAGGAGAUUGGAAUUUACGGUGUAGCAGUGAAAUGCGUAGAUAUCGUAAGGAAGACCAGUGGCGAAGGCGGAUCUCUGGACAGUUACUGACACUGAGGCACGAAGGCCAGGGAGCAAACGGG
rnacentral:rRNA from 1 species